rnacentral:rRNA from 1 species
AACGUAGGAGACAAACGUUAUCCGGAGUUACUGGGCGUAAAGGGCGUGUAGGUGGUUACGUAAGUCUGGCGUGAAAUUUCUCGGCUUAACCGAGGCAGGUCGUCGGAUACUGCGAGACUAGAGGACGGUAGAGGCGUGUGGAAUUCCGGGUGUAGUGGUGAAAUUCGUAGAUAUCGGGAGGAACACCAGUGGCGAAGGCGGCGAUCUGGGAAGAUACUGACGCUGAGGUGCGAAAGCGUGGGGAGCAAACAGG